GAUGAACGCUAGCUACAGGCUUAACACAUGCAAGUCGCGGGGCAGCAUGGGGGUUGCUUGCAAUCCCCGAUGGCGACCGGCGCACGGGUGAGUAACGCGUAUCCAACCUGCCCUUCACCACGGGAUAACCCGGCGAAAGUCGGACUAAUACCGUAUGUUGUCCAUUGACGGCAUCCGAUUUGGACGAAAGGUUUGGCGGUGAAGGAUGGGGAUGCGUCCGAUUAGCUGGACGGCGGGGUGACGGCCCACCGUGGCGACGAUCGGUAGGGGUUCUGAGAGGAAGGCCCCCCACACUGGAACGGGGACACGGCCCGGACUCCUACGGGAGGAAGCAGUGAGGAAUAUUGGUCAAGGGGCGUAAGCCUGAACCAGCCAAGUAGCGUGCAGGAUGACGGCCCUAUGGGUUGUAAACUGCUUUUAUGCGGGGAUAAAGUGGCCCACGUGUGGGUUUUUGCAGGUACCGCAGGAAUAAGGACCGGCUAAUUCCGU
rnacentral:rRNA from 1 species